rnacentral:rRNA from 1 species
AUGUAUAGCCGGUGUGGAGGUUACGCGGGGAAGUGAAACAUCUCAGUACCCGUAGGAAGAGAAAACAAUAGUGAUUCCGUGAGUAGUGGCGAACGAAAGUGGAUGAUUGGCUAAACCGGUUGCGUGUGAUACCUGUCAGGGGUUGCGUGGUCGGGGUUGUGGGGUCUUGUUCGACUGGUCUGACAGUCAGUCGCCCGGUCAUGUGUGCUAGCGGAAGUGGUUUGGAAUGGCCUGCCGUAGACGGUGAGAGUCCGGUACGUGAAAGCAUGUGUGGUUGGGUUACGAGGUGCCC